rnacentral:rRNA from 1 species
ACUCCUACGGGAGGCAGCAGUGGGGAAUAUUGCACAAUGGGCGCAAGCCUGAUGCAGCCAUGCCGCGUGUGUGAAGAAGGCCUUCGGGUUGUAAAGCACUUUUCAGUCGUGAGGAAGGUAGUGUAGUUAAUAGCUGCAUUAUUUGACGUUAGCGACAGAAGAAGCACCGGCUAACUCCGUGCCAGCAGCCGCGGUAAUACGGAGGGUGCGAGCGUUAAUCGGAAUUACUGGGCGUAAAGCGCAUGCAGGUGGUUUGUUAAGUCAGAUGUGAAAGCCCGGGGCUCAACCUCGGAAUAGCAUUUGAAACUGGCAGACUAGAGUACUGUAGAGGGGGGUAGAAUUUCAGGUGUAGCGGUGAAAUGCGUAGAGAUCUGAAGGAAUACCGGUGGCGAAGGCGGCCCCCUGGACAGAUACUGACACUCAGAUGCGAAAGCGU